UUGUUUUCCAAUGAAAACCAUUAAAUCAUCCUCAAAGCAAAAGCAAAACAAACCAUGCAGGCUCCAAUAUCCCAGUCUGUGAAAGCCCUGCAAUAAGUCACGUCGCUUUUAUGGUCACUGGUCAAAUCCAAGGUUGCAGAUCCUGGUUCCGUGCUGGAUUUCACAGAGCUUGGCCUUUCUUUUAAGCUUUAAUUGUUCUUCUUGUCAGGCAUUUAUCUUCUUCAGCCCUUCCUUGUGGAUCCAGGUUUUCACAUAACAAAUGGCAAACAUUUCCAGCUUCCCAGGCGCUGUAGGAGAGCUGACACUGAACCUCUGAUCAUCUCAGGAGAAGCCUGACAACAGAGUGCAAUACGUGGCCACACCUCUCUGCUGCCAGAGCUGGCCUAGACCAUAAAAUCAGAAGCAAGGUCACCCAGCAACCAGCCAUUCAACGUCACUACAGUAAUAAAGCCAACUUACAUCCAACUUAUGCUUGGGUAGAUAAAUAUUUCUAUUAGAAGAAGGAAGCCCAGCGAAGAUGGCAGAGGGCUGACUGUUCUGAGCAGAGAUACAUAAAUUCAGAUGGAUGCAAAGCUUUCAGCCAACAUUCAUGGGCCACAUACAAACCCACAAGGCUCCGCUUGUGAAUGCCAUUGGGGUCAACCCCCUAAGCAUUUUCCCUUAAGGAUGCAUGGACCCUGUACCCCAGCAGGACGGCAGAAGCAGAAUCUCAAUAUGCUGGUGUUUGCAGACAGCAGUGGUGGAGUACAGCCGUCUCUCAGCUUCACAGUGAAGAAAACGAGCUAUAAUUGUGAAAUCAUUGCCUAACAAUUGAUAAGGACAACUGCUGCAAUCCUCUCUCUGCCUCCCCUUGGCCAGCAUCCCAAUUACCACAUUACUGGAUAUAUAGAAAAGAGAAUGGCAACGUGGCUAAAGUACAAGCCACACACAUAAAAGACAGAGAAUUUAUCUCCAUGUCUAGUCUGGUUUCCUUUCACCUUUGGCCGAGUAAUUCAAUCUUUGCAAUUCUUUUUCCUCCUUUCAUGACAAUGUUUGCCAUCCUUCUGACAGCCCUUGGGUUCUCCCAAGAAAUGGGGCUUCGUAAAUAGGAUUGGGAGAGAAACCUGUCCCUUCAAAGAAAGCUGUGUCAAGUACCUCAAACAAGGUGCUGCAGGAGACUCUUUUAGGAGGCCUUUGCUUUGCAGAAGAACGAGGUUUCUUCAUGCCUUGUUUCAAACCAGGACAGUCAUUCCCAUUUCACCCUCCUUUUCAGGAGCUCCCUAGGGCACCACAGCACCUUGCAGCAUGAGAUGCCAGCAAUCCCAAGAAAAGUCCAGCCCACCACAAGACCAAAGAAAUUUUGUUCACACAUUCUCACCCUGAAAUGAAGAGGGAUGUAUGCAAUUUCUCAGUCUCCAAAAUUUAUGACCUGAGAACAGCAAGCCCACACCCCCUAUUGCCACUGACACACUGAAGGAUGCAAUGACUGUUUUCUCCCAUGAGAGAAAAUCCUGUGGUAAAUCAAAUACUUGUAUGUAUUAAGUAUUAGAUAAAUACUGAUGAAGUGUUAAGUAAUGGCGCUUUCAAUGAUAUUUAAAAAACCCCAAAUGUGUUAUCACUGCCUAUUCCACAUGGAUGCCCCAUGCUCAGUGACAGAUGUAUUGCUCCCUAGACAACUGCAGGACAAAACCUCACAAGUUCUGCAUGAGCUGAGUAACAAAACCUGGGUCACUGAACUGUAGCUCCCUUGAACACGGCUCAGUAUUACAACUAGAUAGGGCCAAACUCUACCCAGCAUCCCUAUAAACAUCAAGCAGGUCACCCAGCAGUUAUUUCAGUGCCUUGCUGACUCAGAAGUAAUAUAGACAAAAGAGGAAACAGGAGAGACUGUGUUUGGAUUUACAGUUGCUGUUCAAAAGUGCAGGAUAAAUGAGGUUCUACCAAGAUGAUAUUUCAACUUGCAAAAGAGAUAAUGUGCAAUUCGCAAGCAAUCCCUGCUUCUGUAAAAACUUAAAUUGCAUUUUGAUGAGUUGGGGUUUCUUAAGGGUACUGUGAAGAGAUUCUAGUUCAUCUCAAAUUCUAGUUCUUCCAAAUACAUUUUGUAUUUCUAAGAGCAAAGGGUAUAUUUUCAUUAACUGAAGGAAAUACUCUAGAAUUAAUCUGAGGGAACAGGAACUGCCAAGAUAGACCACAUCAUCCACAGAAAUCUCACCUGCACUGGGUCUCAAUAAAAUACCAGUAUUUGGUCUUAAUUUCUUGUAA
rnacentral:lncRNA from 1 species